rnacentral:tRNA from 1 species
GCGGGCGUGGUUCAAUGGUAGAAUGCUACCUUGCCAAGGUAGAGACGGCGGUUCGAUUCCGCUCGCCCGCUCCA